rnacentral:rRNA from 1 species
CUUGGUCAUUUAGAGGAAGUAAAAGUCGUAACAAGGUUUCCGUAGGUGAACCUGCGGAAGGAUCAUUAAAGAACGCCCCGUUUUUUGAAAUGGGUAAUUCCCAAACCGUGUCUAUAUAUACCUUUGUUGCUUUGGCAGGUCGCCUUCUAGGCGUCGGCUCCGGCUGACUGCGCCUGCCAGAGGACCCAAACUCGUUUUGUUUAGUGUCGUCUGAGUACUAUAUAAUAGUUAAAACUUUCAACAACGGAUCUCUUGGUUCUGGCAUCGAUGAAGAACGCAGCGAAAUGCGAUAAGUAAUGUGAAUUGCAGAAUUCAGUGAAUCAUCGAAUCUUUGAACGCACAUUGCGCCCGGUGGUAUUCCGCCGGGCAUGCCUGUUCGAGCGUCAUUAUAACCACUCAAGCCUGGCUUGGUAUUGGGGUACGCGGUUCCGCGGCCCCUAAAAUCGGUGGCGGUGCCGGUUGGCUCUAAGCGUAGUAAUACUCCUCGCUACAGACCCCUCCCGGUUCCCUGCCAGAACCCCCCAUUUUUACAGGUUGACCUCGGAUCAGGUAGGGAUACCCGCUGAACUUAAGCAUAUCAAUAAGCGGAGGA